CAGGGUGACAAGCGGCUGCGAUGCGCGAGCUUGCUCGCAUGCAUCAGCAGACAUUUGUCACCCGCGCGCGACAUGAAACACGGAGCCCGGGAGGGCGGAGUGUGAAUGCCGUGCAGGGAUUGAGAGAGCGCGCAGCGCGGAGCAAUCC
rnacentral:sRNA from 1 species